UAUAUUUUGGUGUAUGGAGCAUAAAAGAUUUUGAUUCUUUUGGAGAUAGUUUAAUUCUAUUAAAUAUAA
rnacentral:tRNA from 4 species